rnacentral:rRNA from 1 species
GUGGACGCCAGUCUGCAUGGAGCCGACCUUGAAAUACCACCCUUUAAUGUUUGAUGUUCUAACGUGGACCCGUGAUCCGGGUUGCGGACAGUGUCUGGUGGGUAGUUUGACUGGGGCGGUCUCCUCCUAAAGAGUAACGGAGGAGCACGAAGGUUGGCUAAUCCUGGUCGGACAUCAGGAGGUUAGUGCAAUGGCAUAAGCCAGCUUGACUGCGAGCGUGACGGCGCGAGCAGGUGCGAAAGCAGGUCAUAGUGAUCCGGUGGUUCUGAAUGGAAGGGCCAUCGCUCAACGGAUAAAAGGUACUCCGGGGAUAACAGGCUGAUACCGCCCAAGAGUUCAUAUCGACGGCGGUGUUUGGCACCUCGAUGUCGGCUCAUCACAUCCUGGGGCUGAAGUAGGUCCCAAGGGUAUGGCUGUUCGCCAUUUAAAGUGGUACGCGAGCUGGGUUUAGAACGUCGUGAGACAGUUCGGUCCCUAUCUGCCGUGGGCGCUGGAGAACUGAGGGGGGCUGCUCCUAGUACGAGAGGACCGGAGUGGACGCAUCACUGGUGUUCGGGUUGUCAUGCCAAUGGCACUGCCCGGUAGCUAAAUGCGGAAGAGAUAAGU